rnacentral:rRNA from 1 species
GACGUAGGGGGCGAGCGUUGUCCGGAUUCAUUGGGCGUAAAGAGCGCGUAGGUGGCGCCGUAAGUGGGGUGUGAAAUCCCGGGGCUUAACCCCGGGACUGCAUUCCAUACUGCGGUGCUUGAGGACUGGAGAGGAGACUGGAAUUUACGGUGUAGCAGUGAAAUGCGUAGAGAUCGUAAGGAAGACCAGUGGCGAAGGCGGGUCUCUGGACAGUUCCUGACACUGAGGCACGAAGGCCAGGGGAGCAAACGGG